AGUUACAAGCAAAAGUAUACAAGCAAUGAAGUAAGUGAAUUUGGUACCAGUAUAAUUUUUUGAUAUUUACAGCCUACCAGAUGGUUUACAUUUUAUGUUUAUAUUUAUUAGCUUUCUAAAAGUACUGGUGGAGAAUUAAAAUACAAGAAUAUUAAGCAUAUUACAUUUGCCAGAAAGUUUGAUUUGUUUAAGUUUGAUUAUUCAAUAUGGCCGCAUUGGCGUACGCAUAAGAAGUGCUGUGGAACUGUCGCAGAAUACUACCAGUAAUUGCAGUAAACAUUAUGGUGAUAUUUGAUUGAACAGAUAAUUGAUGUACACGGCAUUAGAUCGUUAUUAAUUAUUAGAUUAUUAACAAGAUGGGAUUUGUAAUUUCAAGUUUGAUGAUAGUGUACUAGGUAGUUUUAUUUUGGUAACAUGAGGAUCGAUCGUAAUCGCAUUCGCAAAGGUACUUCAGAAAUACCCCCUGAAUGCGAGGGGCUUAUUGAGAAGUUAUUACUCUGCAGUCACUUGGAACUGUUGGAGGAAUUAUCUAAAAUCAGUACGUGGACAUUUGGAAAAUGUGAACUUUAUCAUUGGAUCAACAUAUUGGAUACUUUUGAUAGGAUACUAGAAGAAGCUGCAGAACCUUUCCCUGAUAAUAAAUGGGCUCUUAAUUGUGAUGU